ACUACGGGUGGCAGCAGUGGGGAAUAUUGGACAAUGGGCGAAAGCCUGAUCCAGCCAUGCCGCGUGUGUGAAGAAGGCCUUCGGGUUGUAAAGCACUUUCAGUGGGGAAGAAAGCCUUGGGGCUAAUACCCUCGAGGAAGGACAUCACCCACAGAAGAAGCACCGGCUAACUCCGUGCCAGCAGCCGCGGUAAUACGGAGGGUGCGAGCGUUAAUCGGAAUUACUGGGCGUAAAGCGCGCGUAGGCGGUCUGAUAAGCCGGUUGUGAAAGCCCCGGGCUCAACCUGGGAACGGCAUCCGGAACUGUCAGCGUAGAGUGCAGGAGAGGAAGGUAGAAUUCCCGGUGUAGCGGUGAAAUGCGUAGAGAUCGGGAGGAAUACCAGUGGCGAAGGCGGCCUUCUGGACUGACACUGACGCUGAGGUGCGAAAGCGUGGGUAGCAAACAGGAUUAGAUACCCCAGUAGUC
rnacentral:rRNA from 1 species